UACGUAGGGUGCAAGCGUUAAUCGGAAUUACUGGGCGUAAAGCGUGCGCAGGCGGUUUGCUAAGACAGGUGUGAAAUCCCCGAGCUUAACUUGGGAACUGCGCUUGUAAUUGGCAAGCUAGAGUGUGGCAGAGGGGGGUGGAAUUCCACGUGUAGCAGUGAAAUGCGUAGAGAUGUGGAGGAACACCGAUGGCGAAGGCAGCCCCCUGGGCUAACACUGACGCUCAUGCACGAAAGCGUGGGGAGCAAACAGGAUUAGAUACCCCUGUAGU
rnacentral:rRNA from 1 species